AAAUUGAAGAGUUUGAUCAUGGCUCAGAUUGAACGCUGGCGGCAGGCCUAACACAUGCAAGUCGAACGGUAACAGGAAGCAGCUUGCUGCUUCGCUGACGAGUGGCGGACGGGUGAGUAAUGUCUGGGAAACUGCCUGAUGGAGGGGGAUAACUACUGGAAACGGUAGCUAAUACCGCAUAAUGUCGCAAGACCAAAGAGGGGGACCUUCGGGCCUCUUGCCAUCGGAUGUGCCCAGAUGGGAUUAGCUAGUAGGUGGGGUA
rnacentral:rRNA from 1 species